AUGGAGUUUGGUUUGGACAAAUGUUCGACAGUGGCAUUGAAGAAGGGGAAAAUCAUUGAAAGUGAGGGCAUAAAUAUGCCUAAUGGCCAAACAAUAAAGUGUCACCAGCCAGAGGCCUAUAAAUAUCUGGGCAUAUUACAGCUGGACAACAUCAAGCAUGAACAUGUGAAGACUGUGGUCAGUAAAGAAUACACACAAAGGGUCAGAAAAAUUCUCAAAAGCAAGCUCAAUGGAGGCAACACCAUCAAGGCCAUAAACACUUGGGCCAUGCCUGUCAUAAGAUAUACUGCUGGCAUUAUAAACUGGACACAGAUGGAACUGGACAAUUUGGACAGAAAAACAAGAAAACUCAUGACCAUUCAUCACUCACUGCACCCUCGCAGUGAUGUUGACCGGCUAUAUCUGCCUAGAAGAUCAGGGGGCAGAGGACUCUUACAAGUCAAACAAGCAGUCAAAGAAGAAGAACAUGCCCUGGCAGAAUAUGUAAAGCAAAGUGAAGAACCUGCUUUGAUUGAAGUCAAAAAUCAGAAACUCCUCAAAGCACAGCAGACAAAAAACCAGUACAAGAAAGCCACACUACAAACUAGAGCUGACAGCUGGCACAACAAAACAUUGCAUGGAAAGUUCCUUGACAAAAUUGAAGGAAAAGCUGACAAGGAGAAGACCUGGCCCUGGCUCACAAAUGGGACCCUGAAGAAGGAGACAGAAGGCCUGAUCCUUGCAGCCCAGGAGCAAGCCAUCAGAACAAAUGCAAUUAAGGCCAAGAUUGAAAAAUCAGCUGAUGACCCAAAAUGCAGACUGUGCAAGGAAGCUGACGAAACCAUUGAUCAUCUCCUCAGCUGCUGUAAGAAAAUUGCACAGACAGACUACAAACAGAGGCACAACUGUGUGGCCCAAAUGAUCCAUUGGAACUUAUGCCUCAAGCACCACCUCCCAGCAGCAAAGAACUGGUGGGAUCACAAACCAGCAAAGGUCGUGGAAAAUGAACACGCAAAGAUACUGUGGGACUUCCGAAUCCAGACUGACAAAGUUCUGGAACACAACACACCAGAUAUCACAGUUGUGGAAAAGAACAAGGUUUGGAUAAUUGAUGUCGCCAUCCCAGGUGACAGUCGCAUUGAUGAAAAACAACAGGAAAAACUCAGCCGCUAUCAGGACCUCAAGAUUGAACUUCAAAGACUCUGGCAGAAACCAGUGCAGGUGGUCCCGGUGGUGAUCGGCACAUUGGGUGCCGUGCCAAAAGAUCUCAGCCGGCAUUUGGAAACAAUAGACAUUGACAAAAUUACGAUCUGCCAACUGCAAAAGGCCACCCUGCUGGGAUCUGCACGCAUCAUCCGAAAAUACAUCACACAGUCCUAG
rnacentral:lncRNA from 1 species